GUGCUCACUCUACUACACAUAGACUAAAAUUGGAACACUACAGAGUUGAAUAGAAUUGUCCCUGUGAAAUGAUGACAUGAAAACUUAUGAAGUAGUCCAUAUUUUU